rnacentral:rRNA from 1 species
CGAAGCUGAUGCAGCAACGCCGCGUGAGUGAUGAAGGCCUUCGGGUUGUAAAGCUCUUUUCUGGGGGACGAGAAUGGCCGGUCCCCCACGAUUAGCCCCGGCCUACUCCGUGCCCGCAGCCCCCGGUAUACCACGGGGCCCCAGCCUUAGUGAUAUUACUGGGGGUAACGUUUAUUUAGGGUGUUUGGGUAAUUGGGGGGGGAAUCCCCCUGCUUAACUUGGGAAAGGCCCCCCAGACUGGACCUGUUGAAUGCCGUUGAGGUGGGUGGAAUUUCGUGUGGAGAGGGGGAAUUGGUAUACUUUCGGAAGGACACCAUUGGCCAAAGCGGCUCACUAGGCCCGUUCUGAACCUUAAGUCCUAAAACCUGGGUAGCAAACAGGAUUAGAUACCC